CGCGCGCGAGCGUCCGCGGAGAGCCGCUCUCCGAUCGCGGCGAGCGCGAGGCACCGGCCAGCGGGGACGGGCCACCGGCUGCGGAGCGCUCGCGGCCUGGGGCGCCCGCGGAGAGACCCCAGCUCUCCGGUUGUGGACCUCAGCCCCGCGCGCUCGCACGGUGCCCGGCCCCGGAAAGUCCAAGCCCGGGAGACGUCCGAGCCGCGGUCCGCGCGAGGGCCAGGGACCGGUGCGACGCUCGAGCGGGCCCUCGCCUGCCGGAAGCGCCCGCGCCUCGUGCUCCCGCCUCGUCCUCCCCCGGCCGGCCGGCGCGAGCAGGUGGCUGGGUUCCCAGCGCUUCCCCGUGCGGCCCCGGAAUCUCCAUCGGUCUGUCUGGGACUUUGAACUCCCUGGACGAGAUAAGGUCAUAACGUUAUCGCUCCUUCCCCGGGCAGUGCUUCCUACCACGCACACACCCUGGUAAAGUUUAAACGGAGGGGCCCCACCCGCCGAUUUCAGUGGCGCGCACGUAGUCAGUCCUUCACAUGCCGCUUUGUAAUACAGGAGUGACUCGCGGGCCCCGUGAAACGUGUCGGCCCCCUGUGGGAGACAGUGCGCUCGGGAGAGCCCCAGGUUUUGAGGUCCUUUCCUGACCAGGGUCGCCCCGUACCUAGCUUUGCAAGGUUGUCUAUGCAUUCGGCAGACGGGAAGCCUGGUAAAGACCUGUGGUGCUGAGCUUCCUGGGAAGCCGGCCUCUUUACCAGCCCCUGCUUGGCGGGAGCGUGCAGGCCGCCGCAGGGUGGAGACGGCGGCCACAGCGCCGCUGAGGAGGGCAGUGUAUGGCUCGGGCUGUCUUACAGAAAGGACUGUCAAAUGCCUCUCCUGGCAAAGGUAUGGAGGUGAGUGCUGAAGUUUCGAAGGAAAAGACCAACCACAAAGUAUCCAGCUGAGCUCGUCUAAAAGCCAGUGUGAGCCGGCUUCCUCAGCAGGCAGGAGCACUCUGCCCUUGCGCUGGGUCCCCGAGGCUCAGAGCCCUCUUCUGGCCUCCCUGGGCAUUGCACUCAUGCAGGGACCACACGCCUCAUUUCGCUGGGAAUUCUUCCGGGUUCGCGGAUUCUGUUUCUAAGGAAACAGACUCGAGGAAUCCUUGCUCUCCAGUUCCCACUUUUUGACGGCUGCUGACAUAAUUCUUAUAUCCGUCUUGAUAAAAAUGAAAGGGACAGACAGUCCAAGGAGCUGAGAUGGUCAGCCAACCUUCCUGCUGCUUGUAUAUGUUUGCCAGUUUAAUUUCCUUAACAAGCCACAAGAUUGAACCUACAAGGAUGCUUUGCAGGCCGGUAAAGUUCAACAGCCAGCUUAGUCAAGAUGCAGAGCUGCCCUUAUUUCCUCCUUCCCUUUCUACUCCAGCCUUCGUGUUACAGCUUUUCUUUUUAUGCCAAGUGAAUAGUCAUAAUCUGCAACAAAUAGGUAUUGAUUCUAUACAUAGCUCAGGGCCUGAUGUUAGAGCCAGAGCGCCGUUGGCCGCGGUAUGAGGCUUCAGGACAAGCAGCAGUGUGAGAGCAGACAGGCACUCUGGCAUCCGCAGGGAGAGCUGGUGUCUGCAGAGCAACCCUGGGGAAGCCAGCAACAGCUCUGCCAGAGCUGUCGGGUGGGGAAGAGGACGGGCAGUGUCGCUUGGCCAUCGUGCCCUGGACUGAUGGAUAAAGCUCAGAGUUCCAGCUCCAGAAAAAAAGAAAAUGGGGAAAUAAAGAAACAGUGCCAGUGACUGGGAACCCAGAGAGAUGGAACAGGGCCUGCCUGGAAAGCAGCCAUGCCCUCUGACCUAGCACGGUCCCUGCUUAUGCAAUGCACACAUAUACGCCACUCUCCUGUGCUGGUCCUGUUUGCCUGGGGCUGGGCUCAUCCUCAUGUGUCCAGCCGAUGGCUGUGCUUCCCCGUCACCCACAGCAGAAGCCUCUCACAACAGCGCAUGGACUUGUACAACAACAAAUGGCACCCCUGCAACUUUCGGGUUUUUGGUUGGCCGCUUAUUUGUUUGUUUCUUUAGCUGCUUGGUAUUGUUGUUUUGAAACAAAUUCUGUCUGUGCAGCCCUGUCUGUCCUGGAACUCACUCUGUAGACCAAACUGGCCUUGAACUCACAGAGAUCCACCUGCCUCUGCCUCCCAAGUGCUGGAAAUAAAGGCCUGUGCCACCGCACCUGGAAAA